UAUUGGACAAUGGGCGAAAGCCUGAUCCAGCAAUACCGCGUGUGUGAAGAAGGCCUUAGGGUUGUAAAGCACUUUCAAUUGGGAGGAAAACCUGCCGGUCAAUACCCGGUAGCUUGACAUUACCUUUAGAAGAAGCACCGGCUAACUCCGUGCCAGCAGCCGCGGUAAUACGGGAGGGUGCGAGCGUUAAUCGGAAUUACUGGGCGUAAAGCGUGCGUAGGCGGUUCGUUAAGUCAGAUGUGAAAGCCCUGGGCUCAACCUGGGAACUGCAUUUGAAACUGGCGGACUAGAGUUUAGUAGAGGGGAGUGGAAUUUCAGGUGUAGCGGUGAAAUGCGUAGAUAUCUGAAGGAACACCAGUGGCGAAGGCGACUCCCUGGACUAGAACUGACGCUGAGGACGAAA
rnacentral:rRNA from 1 species